rnacentral:lncRNA from 1 species
UCCAGUAAUAUUUAGUUCAUGAUAAAAUUUAAAUAAGUAUCAUCCCCUCUCCCCUAAUUUGAAAUCAAAACACCUCCAAGAAGGUGCUAGAGGUUUGUCAUCGUAUUUCGUAUCGCUGUAAAAUGAACAACACUUGCCGUAAGAAAAUAUCCAACUAAACAAAACUCAUACUCUGAUUUUUGAGAUUCAAUCCCACUAUGAAACUGCCAUACCUCCUCUUCCCCGUCUUCAAUACUCAAUCCUGCCAUUUCCUUCUAUACAAAAAAGAAAAAAGAUUCAAAAAAAAGUAAAUAUACUAGGAAGAAAGCAAGAAAAACACACACAAAAAAAAAAAAACGUGCCACCCAGAGCAGAAAAAAUAGAGAGCAG